rnacentral:rRNA from 1 species
CCUACGGGGUGCUGCAGUGGGGAAUAUUGCACAAUGGGCGAAAGCCUGAUGCAGCAACGCCGCGUGAAGGAAGAAGGGUUUCGGCUCGUAACCUUCUAUCAACAGGGACGAAAGAAAUGACGGUACCUGAAUAAGAAGCCCCGGCUAACUACGUGCCAGCAGCCGCGGUAAUACGGAGGAUGCGAGCGUUAUCCGGAUUUAUUGGGUUUAAAGGGUGCGUAGGCGGGCUGUUAAGUCAGCGGUCAAAUGUCGGGGCUCAACCCCGGCCUGCCGUUGAAACUGGCGGCCUCGAGUGGGCGAGAAGUAUGCGGAAUGCGUGGUGUAGCGGUGAAAUGCAUAGAUAUCACGCAGAACUCCGAUUGCGAAGGCAGCAUACCGGCGCCCGACUGACGCUGAGGCACGAAAGCGUGGGUAUCGAACAGGAUUAGAUACCCCAGUAGUC